CAGAACAGUAAAAACAAUUUAAUAAACAUAUGCUUUCAUGAAAUGCAUCACAUCACAAACAAAUCACAUCACGGAUGGACUGACCCAAAAAUCCCUCUUCUCUAUGCUCGACCCUCGGUGGAGCUCCUCAGGACUUCUGUUACAUACAUAAGCUCUGUGCCCGGCCUUCGGUGGGGCUCCUCAGGACUUCUAUUACAUAACAUGAUAUCUAGAGGGCUAAUGGGUCGUCCUGUUGUCCAUCCACACCCACAAUGAAUAAUGCAAUAUGUCAUAUUCGUGAA
rnacentral:lncRNA from 1 species